rnacentral:tRNA from 1 species
GGUGAGGUGCCUGAGAGGUAGAAAGGAACAGUUUGCUAAACUGUCGUACGGGGCAACCUGUACCGUGGGUUCGAAUCCCACCCUCACCG